rnacentral:rRNA from 1 species
AUUGAACGCUGGCGGCAGGCCUAACACAUGCAAGUCGAACGAGUGGCGGACGGGUGAGUAAUGACUGGGAAACUGCCUGAUGGAGGGGGAUAACUACUGGAAACGGUAGCUAAUACCGCAUACCCUCAGAUGUGCCCAGAUGGGAUUAUCUUGUUGGUGGGGUAACGGCUCACAAAGGCGACGAUCCCAAGCUGGUUUUAGAGGAUGACCCGGCAACUUGUAUCGGAGACACGGUCCAGACUCCUAAGCGAGUCAGCAGUGGGGAAUAUUGGACAAUGGGCGCAAGCCGGAUGCAGCCAUGCCGCGUUGAUGAAGAGGUCCAUCGGGUGGUAAAGUACUUUCAGCGGGGAGGCGUUACCCGCAGAAGAAGCACCGGCUAACUCCGUGCAAGCAGCCGCGGUAAUAC